GGACCCGCCGCCCCGUCUCCUGAUAUAGAGGCUUGGCUAUUGAAAUUCCGACCCUGAGGCUGUAACUAGGAAAUGCCUGUUGUCCUGCCAAGGGACUGGAUUGGACGAGGAGAGUGCAGGGGUGGGAUGAGGGAGGAGACGGAGGAGGGGCCUUUAAGCCAGAGUUUCUAGAAGGAACAAAUACCGAGACAGGAAAGGACACCAUUGGCCGCGGUUCCCUCCUCAGAUUCAGGCCUGAACUGCUCCCCUGUGGUCAUGGAGCCUGCCCUAGGUGCCACCUGGACCUGUGCCAGGCAGACAGCAGAGGAUGCACGAUGUGCAUCUUCUUCCUGCCCGGAGUGAAGAGCAUGAUGACAAAUGAGAAACAAUCAUUUCACACAUCCUGGUAAAAUAAAUAUUCUUUGUCGGAACAGCAGGUGAUUAGAUCUUCAUUUUGAUAUAUGCUGCAGUAUCUUGAGAAAUGAACUUGUAAGACCCAAUUUCAAAGACAAUGCAAAUUUCCAGCCCAGGAAUAUGUUGAGGAGAUUAGAAGCUUGUGUAAAGUAUCGUAGAGGUGAACACACUCAGGGCACUUGGUCUUACAUCAAUGAAUCCCAUGAAUGCAGAUUCAAAUCUGGGCACGUAGACUAAGGGUGCCUGAUGGAAUACUCAUUUCUACCACUUGUGGUACCAUUAUUAGCUGUGACGUUUGCUGAAGCAUUAAUAUGCUCAAGCCAUCUCCCAGAUGGAGUCAUGGCUUGAUUCCUAUAAAUGAUUAAUCUUGGGGAAGAAACGCUUGAUUCAAAAACUAAUUUGAGUAAACUUGCUAGUUCACAGAGUAACUUAUGUAAGUGGGACAUCAGUUAUCGUCUGAGGUGAAUAAGAAUUAACAUAAAAUGCUUUGCCUGGAAAGCCUUUCCCCUGCCUUUCUCAGCAGAGCGCUCCUUUCUGCAAGGAGAGACAGAACAGUGUCCAGCUGAGAGCAUAGCACCUGGAGCCAGGUGUCUUCUGCUUUGAUACCAACUUUGCCACUUGUCAGCAGCAUGGCUUUGGGCGAAGUACUUCAUCACUCUGUACCUUGGCUUCCUAAUCUGUAAAAUGGGGAUGAUAAUAAUAGUACUUAACCUAGAGGCUUGUUAUGGGGCAAAACAUAUUCUUACAUUUAUAGAUAAGAAGACCCAGGCUCAGAAAGUCAAGUGUAUUCCGGGUUCACAGAGCUGGGGAGUGAAUGAAUCUGAUUUCAAACUUUAGACUGUCAGCCCUCCCUCUGUGCCAUUCUUCGCUAGCACUGGCUCCCAAGCUUGCCAAUCAUGAGAGUCACCUGGAGGUCCUGUUAAAAACACAGAUUGCUGGGGACCAGGAAUCUGAGACAUUAACAAGGCCCUAGGUGGUAAGAUCUGGUGGUGGUGUACCAGCGCUCCUCAGCCCCUGAGCUUUUUCAGCUGGAUGCCUGGAUUUGUGUGCAAAGGUGUUUUGUUCCCCCUUUCCCAUUCAUGUGUUUCCAACUUCCCCCUUAACCAGCCUUUUCCUUUCCCACAAUUUUCCCUGUGUUCUCCACUGUGCCUUUGAGAGUGCUGAUUACUUAAAUAAUCUUCUCUCUCUCAGACUUUCUGGCCCUCCAUGUGUCUCGUCAUUUUGUUCAAACUGCCUGAUAACCUAGCCUUUGCCUUUAAAUGUCCUUGUAUCUUCUUCCAGCUGACCCUUUGUUCUUUCGUUGUUACUUUCCCUCCCACUUUUCUUUUCCUUUAGGUUUCUCAGAACCCUUGAGAUGACCGCAGAUGGUAUUUUGUAUGCAACACUGUAAUGAAAACUGUAGUAUAAAUUAUUUUCAGAGUACAGUAUGACAUUAUGAAGUCAAUAUUAUUUAUAUUAAAUGUAUAUAAUUUUACUAAAGAGAAAAUAACUGCUAUAUAUUAGACUGAAAGUGAUUAUAUUUUAAUCUAAAAACCAAAGUGAAUGUAGUAAGCCCUGCUAAUAGACAGCCAUGCCUACGUAAUUUCUAGAGGGUCACCUCUUUGACAUGCUGUUUCAAGGCCUGUAUUGUCUUCUUUUGGCAAUGCCUGGAUUUGGAACUUUGGGUCAUAGCUGCAAAUCCCAAUUUCCUACAAGGCCAAAUAAUGGUUCAAAAAACAAUAUUCCACCGAGUAACCUUGAUUUCUGCAACCGUGUAGGUCAGAGUCAAAUGCCCUUAUUUGAUGGGAUGACAAAUUGGUUCAAGGACUUUGGCCCGCAAGCUACCACUCAAGGAGACAAGCCUGGAUUUGAUGCACAAAUGAGCAGUUGUGUGUGCUAUUGCGGUCUGAAUAAAUGGCAUUCAGAAGCACUAAAUUGCUUGCAUACCCAGGAAAGGAGAAAUAAUUGGGCAAAUGAAGUUUGUAGCUGGUUAUUUACACACCAAUAUGGAUUUUUCAGUUGAGAGGCAUAUAAUUAUUACAGGUCCAGUGGAGGAUUUCUUGGAGAAUAGGAAUUAUGUAUUUUCAUGAAUAAUCAUAUCAGUCUCUUAUAUUCCAUUGUCACUACACAUUUCUUGCAUUUAUUAUACUUCUCAAGGUAUAUCUGAGCAAAGCUUAUAAGAUAAACUACUUGCCUCAGGGAUCCAUAAUGUUUUGGUAUUUUGAGAAUGUAUUAAUUCAAUAUUUGUAUGGGCCCUAGGCAUUUUAAGGAAUGAUUCAGUUCAAAAUGGUUUUGUUAGAAUGAUUGAGGAGGUAUAGUUCAAAGAUUGAGGUUAAGUUCCAUUAACUGUGUGACCUUGAGCAACUAAGUCACUUCAGUUGUCUAAAUACCAUUUUCCUUCCCUACAAAAUGGAAUGCUGCCUAUCUCGCUGAGUUGUUGAGAUAACGAUGUAUCAUUGCAACCAAGAUUGACUGGUGAACUUAAAAGCCCAGCACUAGGUUAUCAUUGUUUUAUGUCUGGUGGAAAGGCCAGCUAUUUAACAUUGCUUGAUUCAUGUUGACUGUACUUGCACUGGGCUACCUCUGCUAAGGGUGUCUGUUGGGACUUGGGAAAUUUGAUGUGAUUGAAUUGUGAGGUGAUAUUAUCACAUGCUGAAAACAGAGAACAGCCCAGUCUUUACCACUUGGUCAUGACUGAUGCUCAUGAUGGUGCUGACUAGUUAGAAUGUCAACGCUAGAGUCAUCUCCUGGGGCUUCAACCAUCUAGCAGAUAGCUCAUAGCCUAGUCUUUCCCAAAUGGUUUUGCAAAGAAUUCCAAUUUUUUGGAAGCAGAAUUCUAUGGCCCAGCAAGUUUGGUAAUUGCUGUAUGCACUGGCUCCCUCUUAGAGCUAGCACUGUAAAUGCGUGUGUGUGAUACAAGUUAUGCUGUCUAAAAUAUAGAUACUAUCCCCAUCUGGCUAUUUAACUACAAACUAAUUAAUAAAAUAAAAAAUUCAGUUCCUCCAUCACACUAGCUACAUUUCAAGUGCUUAACAGUCGCAUGCGGAUUAUGGAUGCCGUAUUGGAAAGUACAUACAUAGAUAUUUCCAUCAUUGCAGAAAGUUCUGUCGGACAGUGCAGAAAAGGCUCUGAGACCUCCUGCAGCAAAAUUACUUAUUUAACUUUGCUCACUUCUCAAGCCUUUUAGUACCUAGUAGAGUUGCCAUUCUCUAAGACUGUUUAGAAGAUAUUGCUUGGCAUCCUUGGAGAGAUGAAUUUUUCUGGGUAUGGUGUUCUAGGAACCUGUUCUGCAGCUCCUAUAUCUUUGCAGCUUUUCAAAUCCUGCUUCUGUUACUACCAGAGUCACAUUUAGUUUUGGUAUUCUCAAAAUACCAAAACAUCCAUGUUGAAAGAGAAUUAUUUUGCUAUUAUAAGACAUCCCCUCAUGUUUCAUAUCUCUGUGAAAUCUUCCAAUAGCCAGUGUUCCCUCUAUUAUAGACACAGAACUUCUGGGUUGGAAGAAAUCUUAGAGAGCAUAUAGUUCAAUUUUU